CAGUCGCACGGUAAUACGAAGGGUGCAAGCGUUAAUCGGAAUUACUGGGCGUAAAGCGUGCGUAGGCGGUUUGUUAAGUCUGCUGUGAAAUCCCCGGGCUCAACCUGGGAAUGGCAAUGGAUACUGGCAAGCUAGAGUGUGUCAGAGGAUGGUGGAAUUCCCGGUGUAGCGGUGAAAUGCGUAGAGAUCGGGAGGAACAUCAGUGGCGAAGGCGGCCAUCUGGGACAACACUGACGCUGAGGCACGAAAGCGUGGGGAGCAAACAGGAUUAGAUACCCGCGUAGUCCCUGUCUCUUAUACA
rnacentral:rRNA from 1 species